UACGUAGGAUGCAAGCGUUGUUCGGAAUUACUGGGCGUAAAGAGUACGUAGGCGGCAAUGUAAGUCUGAUAUUAAAGACUGGAGCUUAACUUCAGGAGUGUAUUGGAAACUACAUAGCUAGAGGAUAGUAGAGGAAGUCGGAAUUCUCAGUGUAGCGGUGAAAUGCGUAGAUAUUGGGAAGAACACCAGUUGCGAAAGCGGACUUCUGGGCUAUUACUGACGCUGAGGUACGAAAGCGUGGGGAGCAAACAGG
rnacentral:rRNA from 1 species